rnacentral:rRNA from 1 species
AUAGUAUCCUUACGUGAAUACAUAGCGUGAGGAAGGCAGACCCAGGGAACUGAAACAUCUAAGUACCUGGAGGAAGAGAAAGAAAAAUCGAUUUCCUGAGUAGCGGCGAGCGAAACGGAAAGAGCCCAAACCAAGAAGCUUGCUUCUUGGGGUUGUAGGACACUCUAUACGGAGUUACAAAAGAAAGUUAUAAAUGAAGCGGUCUGGAAAGGCCCGCCAAAGACGG